UCGAGAAUCUUUCACAAUGGGGGCAACCCUGAUGGAGCGACGCCGCGUGGAGGUUAAGGUCUUCGGAUUGUAAACUCCUGUCAUGCGAGAACAAAGCCCUCACGGGUGUGAUAGUAUCGCAAGAGGAAGAGACGGCUAACUCUGUGCCAGCAGCCGCGGUAAUACGUAGGGACCAAGCGUUGUUCGGAUUUACUGGGCGUAAAGGGCGCGUAGGCGGCUUGACAAGUCACUUGUGAAAUCUCUGGGCUUAACCCAGAACGGCCAAGUGAAACUGUCAUGCUAGAGUGCAGAAGGGGCAAUCGGAAUUCUUGGUGUAGCGGUGAAAUGCGUAGAUAUCAAGAGGAACACCUGAGGUGAAGACGGGUUGCUGGGCUGACACUGACGCUGAGGCGCGAAAGCCAGGGGAGCAAACGGGAUUAGAUACCCCAGUAGUCCCUGAGCGGGCUGGCAAGGCGCAU
rnacentral:rRNA from 1 species